GAUGAAGAACGUAGCGAAAUGCGAUACUUGGUGUGAAUUGCAGAAUCCCGUGAACCAUCGAGUCUUUGAACGCAAGUUGCGCCCGAAGCCACUAGGCCGAGGGCACGCCUGCCUGGGCGUCACACGCCGUUGCCCCCCCAUCUACUCCUUCGGGAUUGCGGGGGGGCGGAUGAUGGCCUCCCGUGCGCCUAGCCGCGCGGUUGGCAUAAAUACCAAGUCCUCGGCGACGCACGCCACGACAAUCGGUGGUUGCGAAACCUCGGUUGCCCGUCGUGUGCGUUCGUCGCGCAUCGAGGGCUCGAAAAAAUGCUCGGCUUCGGCUCGGCUUUCAACGCGACCCCAGGUCAGGCGGGGUUACCCGCUGAAUUUAAGCAUAUCAAUAAGCGGAGGA
rnacentral:misc_RNA from 1 species